AUACGUAGGUGGCAAGCGUUGUUCGGAUUUACUGGGUGUAAAGGGCGUGUAGGCGGAGAUGCAAGUCAGGAGUGAAAUCUAGGGGCUCAACCCCUAAACUGCUUUUGAAACUGUAUCCCUUGAGUAUCGGAGAGGCAGGCGGAAUUCCUAGCGUAGCGGUGAAAUGCGUAGAUAUUAGGAGGAACACCAGUGGCGAAGGCGGCCUGCUGGACGACAACUGACGCUGAGGCGCGAAAGCGUGGGGAGCAAACAGGAUUAGAUACCCUGGUAGUCCACGCUGUAAACGAUGAAUACUAGGUGUGGGGGGACUGACCCCCUCCGUGCCGCAGUUAACACAAUAAGUAUUCCACCUGGGGAGUACGAUCGCAAGAUUGAAACUCAAAUGAAUUGACGGGG
rnacentral:rRNA from 1 species